AAUCAACGCUGGCGGCGUGCCUAACACAUGCAAGUCGAACGAGAAGGUGACUUCGGUCACUGGAUAGUGGCGUCCGGGUGAGUAACACGUAGGUAAUCUACCUUCGGGUGGGGAAUAACGUCUCGAAAGAGACGCUAAUACCGCAUAAUGCAGCGGCACCUAAUGGUGAUUAGUUGUUAAAGCGGGGGAGUCUUCGGACCUCGCGCCUGAAGAGGAGCCUGCGGCAGAUUAGCUAGUUGGUGAGGUAAUGGCUCACCAAGGCUUCGAUCUGUAGCUGGUCUGAGAGGACGGCCAGCCACACUGGCACUGACACACGGGCCAGACUCCUACGGGAGGCAGCAGUGGGGAAUUUUGGGCAAUGGGCGAAAGCCUGACCCAGCAACGCCGCGUGAAGGAGGAAAUCCUUCGGGAUGUAAACUUCAUAAGUAAGGGAAGAAAGCUGCGGAUCGAAUAAGUCCGCAGUCCGACGGUACCUUACGUAAGCCACGGCUAACUACGUGCCAGCC
rnacentral:rRNA from 1 species